rnacentral:rRNA from 1 species
UGCGGCCUACGGGACGCAGCAGUGGGGAAUAUUGCACAAUGGGGGAAACCCUGAUGCAGCGACGCCGCGUGAGGGAAGAAGUAUCUCGGUAUGUAAAGCUCUAUCAGCAGGAAAGAUAAUGACGGUACCUGACUAAGAAGCCCCGGCUAACUACGUGCCAGCAGCCGCGGUAAUACGUAGGGGGCAAGCGUUAUCUGGAUUUACUGGGUGUAAAGGGAGCGUAGACGGCAGCGCAAGUCUGGAGUGAAAUGCCGGGGCCCAACCCCGGAACUGCUUUGGAAACUGUGCGGCCCGAGUGUGGGAGG